AAACUUAAAUCAUCUCAAAGUUUAAUAACAAUUGUCCAAUUCCAAUUUCCAGGUUAUACAAUUCCAGCAGGUUGGGCCAUUAUGAUUGUCACUUGUACUCUUCAACUAAAUCCCAACGUAUUUAAGGAUCCACUUACAUUCAAUCCGAGACGUUGGAAGGACAUUGACCCGCAAACCGCAUCAAAGAAUUUUAUGCCUUUUGGUGGAGGGACGAGACAAUGCGCAGGUGCAGAGUUGGCCAAGGCAUUUUUUGCCACCUUCCUACAUGUUUUAGUCAGUGAAUACAAG